GGGCGAUACCAUCGCGCGAGCAGGAAAAAUGUUUAAUUUUUUGAUUGAUCGAAUGGACUCGAACCCAAUCGAAAUUCGAAUGAAACAUUUUGGGAUGAAAAUUGGGGGUGUUGUAGGGAAAUUGUGAUAUCUGUGGAACAGCAGUCUGACUAGUCGGAAUUUUGUAACCACGUCUUCUAAUUUAUUGUUUUGCUCAGGAGAGGAAUGAGCCCAACCCACAUCGAAGACGUAAUUCCCCUCAAUGACACGGGAGGCCAUUUUGAGUUGAAGUUUGCGGAGAAGGGAAUCAGGUUCUUGUGGCGGAUUAUCUCUGUGUUUUUUUUUUAAUUGUGGAGGAGCGGCUCGAUUGAUCUGACGGGAGGACCAUAGUUAAAAGUCGAGUGUGAUAGCUUGGGGGAUUGAUUUUCAAAGCUGGGUCCGGAGAGGCUAUCCACUGAUAUUUAUAUGCGCACGCGACACAAAGGAAAAGUGCUUUCCAUUCAUUUCGAAAACGUGCUUCGUGUUGUCGGCCUUACAUGGCCGCGCGUUUUAAUUAACUGGAUUUUAUUCUAAUUAAGAAAAACUUGGGACUCAUGCAGUGGUAAACACUUUCAGAUAUUCGUUUUGCUUUUUCUUUUGUUGCGUCUUUUUCCCUUCCGCUAAAAAGAAAUCAAGGUAAUUAGAAGCGAUCCGAACCGGCUGCGUUUGAAAAUGGCCGAGCUGUACAUUCGUGUUGCGGAGGAUGAGAACGAGGAGCCCAUGGAGAUCCCUUCUGAGGACGACGGCACAGUGCUGCUGUCCACCGUGGCGGCGCAGUUUCCCGGGGCGUGCGGCCUGCGCUACCGCAGUCCGGUUUCCCAGUGCAUGCGCGGCGUGCGCCUGGUGGAGGGCAUCCUUCACGCCCCCGAGAACGGCUGGGGCAAUCUGGUCUACGUGGUCAACUACCCUAAAGAUAACAAGAGGAAGAUGGACGAGAUCGACGCAUCCUCAGCGGUGAAGAUCAAGAGGGGCGACCAGAAGACGUCGGACCUUAUCGUCCUGGGCUUACCGUGGAAGACGUCCGAGCAGGACCUGAAAGAGUACUUCAGCACCUUUGGGGAAGUCAUUAUGGUGCAAGUGAAACGGGAUGUGAAAACCGGGAAUUCCAAAGGGUUCGGGUUUGUGCGCUUCGCGGACUAUGAGACACAGGUGAAGGUGAUGUCACAGCGGCACAUGAUCGACGGGAGGUGGUGUGACUGCAAGCUUCCGAAUUCCAAGCAAGGCCCUGAUGAGCCCAUGAGGAGCAGAAAGGUGUUCGUUGGCCGCUGCACGGAGGACAUGACUGCUGAAGAGCUGCGGCAGUUCUUCAUGCAGUACGGCGAGGUCACUGACGUCUUCAUACCCAAGCCGUUCCGGGCCUUUGCUUUCGUCACCUUUGCUGAUGACCAGGUUGCCCAAUCCCUGUGCGGGGAGGACCUGAUCAUCAAAGGGGUCAGCGUGCACAUCUCCAACGCGGAGCCUAAGCAUAACAAUAUUCACCACCUCUUUUCCAAUUUCCCGGGAAGAAGUCCCUCGUUGGCAGCAAUGCUGGAGAGAUCUCACUUUCAGUUCCCCAGUUCGCACGUGUAAAUGCUUUGUCAUCACAGGCCGCUGCUGCCUCACUCUACAUAUUCUGUUUUAGACGGCACUUCGGAUACUGCUACGCCGGGAUGGCACCUGAAUCCAGAGACGCCUGAAGACCCAAGUUGGAGUUUCGAUGGUCACAUCAGUAACUGAGGGGAUAAAGCUUGAUGCCGUUCCCUGAAUAAGGGGUCUUCUCUGCUUUUUAUAACGCAAUCCCUGGACAUACCUCAAAUUCAAAUGGACAGUUUAGAAUCGGAGGGAGGGGCUGGCCACUCUAGUCCAAAUUCCUUUUUGAAGCCAACUUUAACUUGGAUAUUUUUUAGAGGAUAUGGCAAUUUAAUGAAUCUUUCAGCAGGAAUAUGUUUGGAUAUAUUUGAUUUCUACGUCUGUUCAAAAUUUACUGGGUAACGUGGUUUUUCUUAUGUUUUUGUUUAAAUACACUGUUAUUGGCAUAUUUUGCUGUCACUUAAAAUGGGACUAAAAUUUAUUGAAGUAUUUUGUGAACCCACAAUGACUAUUUUUGUGGUAAAGUAUUGAUUUAAAGCCAAUCUGCAUCUUGUUUUUUUUAUUCAAGUUAUUGUAGGUUGUUUUGGUUUCUCUCUUUUGACUGGAAUGUGAAAUUGCACAAAGGGUUCACCUGUUGAGAUUGUAUUUUGCACAGGAUAUAAGGCACAGAAGGUGAUGCCAUCUGCAGUCUGAAUUUUUGUCAUGCGUCCUCUGGUCUUAUUUUAACCCCUUGAAUUGUAUUUUUUUUAAUUCAAACAUGUAGUUCUGACUUGUUUUAGAUGCACCACUUGCAGUGCGUAAAGGAUCACUAGUGUAAUGUAUUGCAAGGUUUUGCAAUUUAAUAAACUUUUUUUUACAAGCAUCUAAA